GGGGGCGUCUUGGAUUCGACAGGGGUCAGUUUGAAUCAGGCAGCAGUCGUUGGCAAACGUUACAUGCACAAACAAAUAUCUGGAAACAGAACAAAUUACGCUUUCGCUUAAUAGUCGACAUAGACUUGCGAAUGCAGACCUAUCUGCGCUUACACCUUUAGAGUCUGUAACAUAACCUGUAAGAUAAGGGAUAUAGGAUGUUCUGACUAUAUUCAUGAAAAUCAAUUAGAAAUCGGUAUGCGAAAGAUUGCUUAUUGAUCGUAACAUACUUAAAUUGAUUCAAUAAGAUAAACUGUAGACACCUGAUAUGGAACGGCUUUUGGACGGGGGUUCGAUUCCCCCCGCCUCCACCA
rfam:Catenibacterium sp. CAG:290 genomic scaffold, scf117